ensembl:lncRNA
UCCUGUCUUCGGGGGAUGGGAUAAUUUAUACCCUGCAAUCCCACAAUGCUUCACUUUAAUCUGGGUGAGUCACCGACAUCCUCAGCCACUAGAUGGAGGUCUUUCCUUUUUGGCUUGUGAUGGGCUAGCCUCAAACCCAGCAAUUCUAGAGAAGAAUAGUGAGUGUGAUGACUGGCAGCCAGCGAGUCAGCCUCUAGGACAGUAGCUUAGCUUUUAGCCUCUAGGAAAGUAGCUUAGCAUUUAGCCUCUAGGACAGUAGCUUAGUGUUCAGCCUCUAGGACAGUAGCUUAGCUUUUAGCCUCUAGGAAAGUAGCUUAGCAUUUAGCCUCUAGGACAGUAGCUUAGUGUUCAGCCUCUAGGACAGUAGCUUAGCAUUUAGCCUCUUGGACAGUAACUUAGCUUUCAUCUUCUAGGACAGUAGCUUAGCUUUCAUCUUCUAGGACAGUAGCUUAGCUUUCAUCUUCUAGGACAGUAGCUUAGCUUUCAUCUUCUAGGACAGUAACUUAGCUUUCAUCUUCUAGGACAGUAACUUAGCUUUCAUCUUCUAGGACAGUAACUUAGCUUUCAUCUUCUAGGACAGUAACUUAGCUUUCAGCCUCCUUACAUCCAGGGAGAUGUUUCAAUACUCUACAUUGGUUUACUUUCUUCAUUUCCUUUCUUUCACAAUCACUGAUUAAGGGACUGGAUAAGAUACAUCUUAUAUCAUGCAGGAUCAGUCAUCAUGGAGGAAAGGAAUCCAUCUCAACUGAGGUAGAACCAGAGUGUUUGGAUGACACAGUACAACCCAGUCGUCAGAUGUCAUACCUACAAAGCCAACGAAGCACAAACACAUCUCCAACCACCACCCGUCUACCCGACAGACAAAUAAGGCCUGUGGACAUGGAUAAGAUUGCAUGUAACCAUUGAGAGUUCGUUUGAAGAAAAGGAAAGUGUGACGUUUUCUUUAAUGGUAUGUAUGCAAAUGAUUCUAGACCAUUUUUUGAUAGAAUUCAUGGAGAGCAAUGCUGUUGUAUAUAGCAUAGACACAGCAUAGUCUAA